AACGAACGCUGGCGGCAUGCCUAACACAUGCAAGUCGAACGAGACCUUCGGGUCUAGUGGCGCACGGGUGCGUAACGCGUGGGAACCUGCCCUUAGGUUCGGAAUAACUCCCCGAAAGGGGUGCUAAUACCGGCUAAUGUCUUCGGACCAAAGAUUUAUCGCCUUUGGAUGGGCCCGCGUUGGAUUAGCUAGUUGGUAGGGUAAAAGCCUACCAAGGCGACGAUCCAUAGCUGGUCUGAGAGGAUGAUCAGCCACACUGGGACUGAGACACGGCCCAGACUCCUACGGGAGGCAGCAGUGGGGAAUAUUGGACAAUGGGCGAAAGCCUGAUCCAGCAAUGCCGCGUGAGUGAUGAAGGCCGUAGGGUUGUAAAGCUCUUUUACCCGGGAUGAUAAUGACAGUACCGGGAGAAUAAGCUCCGGCUAACUCCGUG
rnacentral:rRNA from 1 species